rnacentral:rRNA from 1 species
UACAGGGGUGGCAAGCGUUGUUCGGAAUUACUGGGCGUAAAGGGCGCGUAGGCGGCCUUCUAAGUCAGACGUGAAAUCCCCAGGCUUAACUUGGGAACUGCGUCUGAUACUGGAAGGCUUGAGUGCGGGAGAGGGAUGUGGAAUUCCAGGUGUAGCGGUGAAAUGCGUAGAUAUCUGGAGGAACACCGGUGGCGAAGGCGGCAUCCUGGACCGACACUGACGCUGAGGCGCGAAAGCUAGGGGAGCAAACGGG